UAGCGGUGUGUUGGUGUGCAGUUUUUGCUGACAGAGGCCUGUAGACUUCGCCUUUUCAGAGUCCACCGCCUGGUUGGGAAGCUUUUUGAUCGUGUGUGAGGUGUAGAUGAAGGUGCCCUCUCUACCCAUCUCCUAGCUGUGCGCACGCUAGCUAAGUAACCCCCAACUUAUGUUCGCAGAGACAAGCUUACCAGGUGGGGAUCCUAUUAAACUUCCACAGCCAUGGUUGGCACAGUGGCAGAGACCUGAGCCACCCUACCUGCUUUCGAACAAAAAACAAAGACUUUUAGGGGUUGGAGAGAUAGUUCAGCUUUAAGAGCUCGAUUCCCAGCACCCCUAUGCAGACAGCUUAUAGCUGUCUCAUAAGUUCAGUUCAAGAGGAUCUGACAGUUUUUGGAUUCUGUGGCCACCAGAGUCAUUGGGAAAGAUAAACAGUCAUGGAAGUUUCACACCCACAGUGACAUGAGGAAAGCUGGCGACGGGGCUAAGAGGCAAGCAUUUGUCAGUUACCAGCACUGUGAUCUGAAACAGGCAUUCUGCAUAACCGGCUAGGGUUUCCUAGUCUGUAAAAUGGGGCUUCGUCUGGCUCAGAUUUCAUGGAAUUCCUAAAAAGGGGCUGGAGAAGUGGCUCAGAAGAAAGCACUGUCUGGUCUUGCCUAGAACCUAGGUUCGAUGCC